ensembl:lncRNA
CAAAGUGAUGGCUGCAGGUCGCCUGAGGGCCCACCCCGGCCACGUGCGGCUUCUGUGAUGACAGGUCUAAAGGGGCGGGGCCUCAGUCCGCAGUGUGCGGCCUGGGCUGACCGGAUCCGGCCGGAGAUGGGGAGCCAGAACCUGCGCCAAAGCGCUUGCUUGUGGGCGCCCGAACCAGGUUGGAGCCAUCCCAGGCUUUCGAGCUGGUGUGAGCUGCCUGCGGAACUUGAGCCUCUUAGUGAAGGCAUCUGGCGCAUCCUUCAACUUGUUGUGGCACAUGGGCUCAGUAGUUGCAGCAUGAAAGCUUCCAGAAUGCGCAGGCUUCAACAGUUGUGGCACACAGGCUUAGCUGCUCUGCACCAUGUGGGAUCUUAGUUCCCGGACCGCAGAAUGAACUCCUGUAUCCCGCAUUUCAAGGAAGCUACCUGCCAUUUUGGAGAGGUCCACAUGACAAGGAACUGAGACCAGUCAAUGCCGACAAGGAGCUGAGGCCCUCUGUUCAAGUGCCCAGGAGAAAUUGAGACCUGCCAACAAUCAUAUGAGUGAGUUUGGAAGUGAAUCCUUUUGCAGUCCAGCUGGAACUUUGCUUGCAGUCUGUAAGAAGCCUUGAACCAGAGGAUCUGAUUAAGCCAUACCCAGAUUUCUGACCCACAGAAACUAUGAGAUAAUAUUGAAAAUUUUUUUAAUUGAUAAAGAUUU